GGAGAGUUGGCCGAGCGGUCCAAGGCGGCGGUUUGCUACACCGCAGCAGGGGUGCACGCCUCUGCCGAGGGUUCGAAUCCCUCACUCUCCUCCA
rnacentral:tRNA from 1 species